rfam:Tilletiaria anomala TBC 951 K437scaffold_53, whole genome shotgun sequence.
GCUGUAAUGGGUUAGUGGUAUACUGUUUCGUUGCCAUGGAUUUCGAAACGACCUGGGUUCGAUUCCCAGUUACAGCA